CACUAGCGCGUACUACGUGUUUGUGUGGUUGGUCGUCUGUUUUUAUGCAUGUUAACUUUUGAGGCUGGCGGUGCCGUCGUCGUGUGUAAAGCUGUAAAGCAGAGCCCAGUUCUUCAGAAAAAUGCGCCAGCUGAAAGGGAAAGUGAAAGAGACAAACAAGCAAAAGAAAGAAAGGAAGAAGGAGUUCAUUGAGAAUAAGAAGCGUGUUUUUACACUUGUUUUACCUACAUUGGCAGCUACUUUUCUAAUGAUUUGUCUUUAUGUAUAUUUCAAGACAAGACCAAAGACAAAUAUUGAUUACUAACAAUGUAGAGCAUUGUGAAAAAUGUGCUUCUGUCAUAAGCUAUAAUAUUCAUAAAAAUGCAGCUCAUAGCAAAUGACAAAUUUUUAUGUCUGGGACCAAAUAUAUUUACAUAAAAUAUAUAUUUAUUUACAAGAACAUUUUCAUAUACAAAUAUUUUCUUAUAUAUUUUAUAUUUCAACAGUGGAAUAAAGGUGGAAUAUUUUGUCA